AACCCAUGGUGAGGGCAUCUUCACAAAAGGUCCUUGUAUCUAUCUCAUGCAUCGUAGAGUGUUUCUAAAUCCAUAUGCACAAAAAAGGCAAUAUCAUUAUGUAAUU
rnacentral:snoRNA from 1 species